AUGGUCAGUGACACUGUGCUGUUGAGGCGGGAAGGAUUGCGAUUGGAGACUGACUAUGUUACGCACAGUGCCUGCCGCAGCCUUGACUACUGGGGACAAGGCACAGCGGUGACGGUGACUGACGGGAAUGUACAACCGAAACCAUUGCCCCCAGUUGUGUUCCUCACACAGCCUUCCCCUGGAGACAUCAAAAUACACAACCAGGCCACUGCUGUCUGCUCAAUAAACAGCUUCCGUCCGGACAAACUCAGUGUGAAAUGGCUGAAAGACUGGGAACCCAUCACCUCAGGUGUUGUGACCUCUCCCUCGGCUAAAGAGGACAACGGGACAUUCAGCAGCAGCAGCCGCCUGACGGUCCCCGCCAGAGAGUGGAGCACUGGCGCGGUUUACACCUGCCAGGUGUCCCAUGAACCCACCCAGACCAUCAUUGUCAAGAACAUCACCACCCCAACAGAUAAUGUACCUAAGCCAUCGCCGCCAGUUGUUAUCCUCACACAAACUUCCCCUGAAGACAUCACCAGGCACAACCAGGCCACUGCUGUCUGCUUAGCAUUUGCUUUUCAUCCAGACAUACUCCGGGUUAAAUGGCUAAGAGACUGGCUGCCCAUCACCUCAGGUGUUGUGAGUUCUCCCUCUGUUAAAGAAGACAACGUGACAUUCAGCACCAGCAGCCGCCUGACUGUCCCCGCCAGAGAGUGGAGGAGUGGCGCGGUUUAUACCUGCCAGGUUUCCCAUGAACCCACCCACACCAUCAUUGUCAAGAACAUCACCUCAGAAUGCGAGGAUCCCUCUGGAGGUGUCAAGAUCUAUUUCCUGCCACCUGCACAGCGACAGGUUUUGAUGGAUUCCUCUGUAACGCUAACAUGUGUAGUGGUUAAUGCACCACUUCACGUCAACGUGACUUGGACACAAGGAAAUACACAUUUGCAGUCUGGAUAUGGGAAAACUUCUGCCACUGAGCCUCAGAAAGUGAUCAGUAAAUUAAACAUUUCUGUAUUAGACUGGAACAGUGGUAAAGAAUACUUCUGUGUAGCCAGCCAUGAUGAUAUACCAUCUCCCAUCAGAGAGAAGACGUUUAAGAAGACAGUGGAGCACGUGAAACAACCUUCAGUGUAUCUCCUCCUCCCGUCGGCAGAAGAAUUGUCUGCUCAGCAGUCUGUCACCCUCACCUGCCUGGUGAAGGACUUCGCUCCCAAAGAGAUCUUUGUGCAGUGGACUGAGAAUGACCAGGUGAUUGAUUACAGUAACUACAAGAACACUGAUGUGAUGGCAGACAGUGCAGAGCGCAACUACUCCAUGUACAGCAUGUUGUCCAUCUCAGCCGGAGACUGGGACAGAGGAUACUCCUACUCCUGUGUGGUCGGACAUGAAACUUUCCCAAUGAAGACUCUGACCAGAUCCGUUAAUAAAUCCAGCGAUUUGCCAAACGAGAUGAUGCUGGAAGGAUUUCAAGAAGUUCAGUGUGACAACCUCUGGCCUACUGCUUCCACCUUCAUCAUCCUCUUCUUCCUUAACAUUUUCUACAGCGCUACCGUAACUCUUUUUAAGGUGAGGAGAGUAAAUGCAUUGAGGCCACGAUGUCGUGCAACAGCUGCUGUUAAAUAUUCGGUGCAUGGAAAGGCUAAUAGUGAAGCUCAUUGCAACCACUCUGUUGGCAAACUCAAACUCUACCUACAGGCCAAGAUUCUUGUGACUGGGCUGUGUAUAGGGUGA